rnacentral:rRNA from 1 species
AUUGAACGCUGGCGGCAUGCCUUACACAUGCAAGUCGAGCGGCAGCGCGGGGGCAACCCUGGCGGCGAGCGGCGAACGGGUGAGUAAUGCAUCGGAACGUGUCCUCUUGUGGGGGAUAACCAGUCGAAAGACUGGCUAAUACCGCAUGAGAUCGAGAGAUGAAAGCAGGGGACCGCAAGGCCUUGCGCGAGAGGAGCGGCCGAUGCCGGAUUAGCUAGUUGGUGGGGUAAUGGCCCACCAAGGCGACGAUCCGUAGCUGGUCUGAGAGGACGAGCAGCCACACUGGGACUGAGACACGGCCCAGACUCCUACGGGAGGCAGCAGUGGGGAAUUUUGGACAAUGGGGGCAACCCUGAUCCAGCCAUGCCGCGUGUGUGAAGAAGGCCUUCGGGUUGUAAAGUACUUUCGGCCGGAACGAAAUCGCGCGAUCUAAUAAGUCGCGUGGAUGACGGUACCGGAAGAAGAAGCACCGGCUAACUACGUGCCAGCAGCCGCGGUAA